rnacentral:rRNA from 1 species
CGCUGGCGGCGCGCUUAACACAUGCAAGUCGAGCGAGAACCAGGCCUUCGGGCCUGGGGAAAGCGGCGAACGGGUGAGUAACACGUGAGUAACCUGCCCUCGGCACCGGGAUAGCCCGGGGAAACCCGGAUUAAUACCGGAUGGCCAUUCGAGCUCGCGAGUUCGAAUGAAAAGGUAGCUUCGGCCUCUGGCCGAGGAUGGGCUCGCGGCGGAUUAGCUUGUUGGUGAGGUAACGGCUCACCAAGGCGACGAUCCGUAGCUGGUCUGAGAGGACGAUCAGCCACACUGGGACUGAGACACGGCCCAGACUCCUACGGGAGGCAGCAGUGGGGAAUCUUGCGCAAUGGGCGAAAGCCUGACGCAGCGACGCCGCGUGCGGGAAGAAGGCCUUCGGGUUGUAAACCGCUUUCAGGAGGGACGAAGCCACUCGGGUGAAUAGCCCAGAGGGUGACGGUACCUCCAGAAGAAGCCCCGGCU